GACGAACCGUGCGAACGUUGUUCGGAUUCAUUGGGCUUAAAGGGCGCGUAGGCGGACUCGCAAGUCUGUGGUGAAAGCCCCCAGCUCAACUGGGGAAGUGCCGUGGAUACUGCAAGUCUGGAGAAGGGUAGGGGCAUCUGGAACGCUGGGUGGAGCGGUGAAAUGCGUUGAUAUCCAGCGGAACUCCGGUGGCGAAGGCGAGGUGCUGGACCCUUUCUGACGCUGAGGCGCGAAAGCCAGGGGAGCAAACGGG
rnacentral:rRNA from 1 species